GAAAUGCGAUGAGUAAUGUGAAUUGCAGAAUUCAGUGAAUCAUCGAAUCUUUGAACGCACCUUGCGCUCCUUGGUAUUCCUUGGAGCAUGCCUGUUUGAGUAUCAUGAAAUCUUCAAAGUAAAUCUUUUGUUAACUCAAUUGGUUUCUACUUUGGUAUUGGAGGUCUUUGCAGCUUCACACCUGCUCCUCUUUGUUCAUUAGCUGGAUCUCAGUGUUAUGCUUGGUUCCUCUCGGCGUGAUAAGUUAUCUAUCGCUGAGGACACUGUAAAAGGUGGCCAAGGUAAAUGCAGAUGAACCGCUUCUAAUAGUCCAUUGACUUGGACAAUACUUUUAUGAUCUGAUCUCAAAUCAGGUAGGACUACCCGCUGAACUUAAGC
rnacentral:misc_RNA from 1 species